UGUCCUAGCCGAUCCUCAGUAAAUGCUGCA
rnacentral:piRNA from 1 species